AGGUGAGGGCUGGGAACCAAUGAAAGGCAUUCCUGGAAACUCCUGCGCCUUCCCCACUUGCAGGAGAGCAGUCUGGAAAUGGGCAGAGGGAGGAGUUGAGGAGCUGGAUCAACCCCUCCCAGCAAGAAAGAAAUAAAAGCUACAUGAGCACAGAGGAUUUUACCUUUCAUUAACCAGUGUCUUCAAAGCACCUGGAAGAGGGCCUGACACAAAGGAGAACGGUUGGCUCUUUUUCAAUGAAUUAAGUACCUUGUUUACUUAAAAAUCCUAUGUUCAUAAUAAUAGAACUGGAUGAAUUGUCAAAAGCUUAAUAAAUCUAUUAGCUAAAACACAUAACAAGAUAGACUAUUAACAGCAAGCCAGAAAGUGUAACAUCCCAUUGCAGCCAAUAAUCUCCACCAAGCAGAAAGCAUGGACUUGAUUACCGUGAACUCAUUUUAUCGUGAUUAAUCUUGGCAUGGGUAUGAUCUUUACUAUGUAUACUUUUGUGUUGGUUUUGCUCAUAUAAUAUCAUAUUUGUGAAACUCAUCUUUGAUGUAAAGAGUUGUAAUUCAUUAAUUUUCAUUGGCAUAUCAUAAAUGUUAUGAUAAUACAUUUAUCAUACUGUAGAAAGAUGUAUUGUUUCUGGCUUGCAUUUUUAUUAGUAAUACUGCUAUGAACAUUCUCAUAUGUGUCCUUUGUGUGAAUUCAUGCACAAUUCUUUUGCAUAUAUAAUCCUGAUAAUCUUUUGCUACAUCCUGAUUCAGCUUUAGUAAAUUCUUCCAAAUACCUUUCCAACUGAUUAUCUCAAUUAUACUCCCACCAGUUAUUUCUGACAAAGCACUUUGCUUGACAUUAUUGUUGUUGAUAUUCUCAAUCUUCUAAUAUUUUCUGUGUUAGUGGUCAUUUUUUAGAAUUGCGUGGUAGUUUUAAUUCAUAUUUUCUUGAUGAUCAAUGUUGUAUAAGACACUUAGGUCUGACAUAAAUAUUAGUUACACCUGGAGAUAAUCAUGUGCCUUCUAUUCUUGAGUUUGAGUAUUAGGUUCAUCUUGUUAGUGCUUAAGUUAGGUUGGGGCUUAUUGUUACAAUUACCUUCAAGAUCAGAAGCUUCAACUUCCUCUGGACUUAAGUAAUGCUGAAAGUAAGGGCUGGUGCGCUGAAGAGUUUUACUCAAGUUUCUUCAAUCUACCAUAAUCCAAGUGUUUUCUUGAUAGGGUCUUUCUUUAGGAUUUAGUUUGUCCUUUUCCUAGAAAGAAGCACAUAUUACUCUGAGCUUAACUAACCAGUUGAUAGGGGGGGAUAUACCCAAGGCCAUCUUCAGUCUUAGACCCUUUAUGCUGGGUCUUUGUGGGGUAGGGGGCCUUUCUCAGCCAUCCUGCUCUUCUCAGUGUUAGGAAAAUUUUCUGUAAUAGCUCUUCCUCAGAAGCAAAGUUGUUUGUUGCCAUUUCCUAAACUUUUGUUCAUUCACCUCAGCCAUAAAAAGUGGGUUUAUAAAUUACAAACUGUGUCUAUUUCUGUCUCUUCAGCAGAAGCUUUGACUUUAUUCUCCUAAAAGUGGGCUGAGAGGAGACUUUACAUAUUAGCAUUUCUAAUCACACUAUAAAGCAUUAUUCAUUCAGUAGUUUUCCUAUCUUGAAAAUAUCUAUGGGAGUUCCUGUCUUGGAGCAGCAGAAAUG